CCGUCAAUUCAUUUAAGUUUCAACCUUGCGGCCGUACUCCCCAGGCGGUCAACUUCACGCGUUAGCUUCGUUACUGAGUCAGUGAAGACCCAACAACCAGUUGACAUCGUUUAGGGCGUGGACUACCAGGGUAUCUAAUCCUGUUUGCUCCCCACGCUUUCGUGCAUGAGCGUCAGUACAGGUCCAGGGGAUUGCCUUCGCCAUCGGUGUUCCUCCGCAUAUCUACGCAUUUCACUGCUACACGCGGAAUUCCAUCCCCCUCUACCGUACUCUAGCUAUACAGUCACAAAUGCAGUUCCCAGGUUGAGCCCGGGGAUUUCACAUCUGUCUUAUAUAACCGCCUGCGCACGCUUUACGCCCAGUAAUUCCGAUUAACGCUUGCACCCUACGUAUUACCGCG
rnacentral:misc_RNA from 1 species